rnacentral:rRNA from 1 species
GACGAACGCUGGCGGCGUGCUUAACACAUGCAAGUCGAACGGAAAGGCCCCUUUGGGGGUACUCGAGUGGCGAACGGGGGAGUAACACGUGAGUAACCUGCCCUUGACUUCGGGAUAACUUCAGGAAACUGGGGCUAAUACCGGAUAGGAAUCCUUGCUGCAUGGGGGGGGUUGGAAAGCUUCGGCGGUUUUGGAUGGACUCGCGGCUUAUCAGCUUGUUGGUGGGGUAGUGGCUUACCAAGGCUUUGACGGGUAGCCGGCCUGAGGGGGCGACCGGCCACAUUGGGACUGAGAUACGGCCCAGACUCCUACGGGUGGCAGCAGUGGGGAAUAUUGCACCAUGGGCGGAAGCCUGAUGCAGCAACGCCGCGUGCGGGAUGACGGCCUUCUGGUUGUAAACCGCUUUCAGCAGGGGCGAAGCUUGUGGUGACGGUACCUGCAGAAGAAGCACCGGCUAACUACGUG